AUGAGAACAUUUUUGUUCUCAACGACAAACAGCCACUUAUUAUCGAGGAGGCGGGGCCCUAAGAGAGGUCCAUGAGUGGAGUGGAUUUGAGGGUUUAAGAGGAAAACAAGGACAAAUCCCGUUGUUGCAGUGGCGUGGGCUUUGGCGAGGGCAUGGACCACCCUGUACAUCGAGGGGAUACGAUGUCCAUCGGACUUCAUGACAGUCGCUAUAGGUUGAUGCAAGCGAUGAUGAUUCAGACCAAAUCACACCAAAGAAUCACUACAAGACAAAACUGUUGCAAUGGAG